AUGGAAUGGGCUUGCAUGAUUACAGAGGCGGAGGGUCCCACACCCGGUCGUCUGCAAGCUGGAGAGCCAGGAGAGCCUGUGCUUCCGCCCUAGGCAGAGUCUGGAGGCCCAAGAUCCUCGAGGGCCGAUGCCAGCACAGCUCCAGCCUGAGAGCAGGUGAGUGUUCCAGCUCCAGCAGGCAGGCAGCCGGAGAGUUCUGACGCCACCUUUUCGUUCUACUCAGGACUUCAAUAGGUUGGAUGAGGCCCAUCCACAUUGCGAGGGCGUGUGCGUCACUGAGUCUACUGUCACACGCUUCUCUUGGGUACCGUCCGAUUGCAGAGAUGCUGUGCUCUGGAAGGGUCCUGCGCCACUCAGCGUGCUGCUGGCAUGUCUGCCUGGUCCGGCCCUGCACCCCUGAGGAGGAGGCUCUGACUCUGGGUUCAGUGAGCAAGGUUAUUUGGCCCCCACACUAAGCUAAGUCUCUCACCUUGGCAUUUAUUAGGAGGAAGUGA